UGAUGAACAAAGUGCUUGCUGCC
rnacentral:piRNA from 1 species